rnacentral:lncRNA from 1 species
GAUGAUUGUUUAUAUAAAUAUUGUGUAAUUGAAUAAAUAUCACAAAACCAAGUUUGGUGUAGUGGUUUGCGAGUGAGGCUUCCUCCUUUGAGGGUCAAUGUUCGAGUCCCUUUAAUGACACAAUAUCUCCUAUUUUUUUAGGGUGAAUAAAGGACAAUGGAGUUGGUCCCCAGUUGGCCGGAGAUGGGUGGCUAUAGGUGGCGGUGGUUGGCCGGUGAUGGGUGGCGGCGGCUGUCGGCGUUGGUGGCAGCUGGUCAGAAAGGGGUUGGCCGGCGACAAGUGGUUGGUGAUGGUGAUUGGCCGACUGCGGUGGUGGCAGCUGGCCGGAAGGGGCUGUAGGUGGUGGUGGUUGGCCGGCGAUGGCAGCAGUAACUGGCCGGUGGUGGUGGCAACUGAUCGGAAGGGAGAUUGCUGAGAUGGACAUGUAGCAUAGUGUGCACUCCUUUAAAGGAGUGGCAUUGUGUGUAAUUUUGAUGUUUUUUAGUUAAUUAUUGUAAAAUUAGGUACUACUUGUAUUCCUAU